ACAAAGACAUUAUUGAAAUUUUGUAGGAGUAUUGAAAAAGAACAGGUAACAAGAGGGCUCAAGAAAGCUUCACAAAGGGGGAACAAGCUGGUCUUAAAAGGUAAAGAGAAGUUUGUCAGGAGUAGAAGGGAUGGAAAAGCAUUUCAAAUAAAAGGAGCAGCUUGUACAAAGCAGAAAAGUGUGUGCCAAGGAAUGAUAUGAACUCAUGAACUUCAGUGUGAGUGGACUAUAGGGAACAGUGUUAUAAAAUGAAGCUGGAGAAGAAGGUUGGCCUGAGAUUGCAAGGGGACCAAAAAUUCUGUUAAGAAGCUAAGCAUUUUGACCAGCAGCAGACAGCCCCAAACAUUUUCAAGCAGGGACAUCACAUGAGAACCAGUUUUUGGACAGUAACAAUGUUAUUGAGAAUGGGUUUUACCAGUGAAUUCUACCAUAUAUCCCAGAACACAUUUUCAUAAUGAAACUCAUUACGAAAAGCAAGACGCAAGAGAUUUCUCU
rnacentral:lncRNA from 1 species